AAAGACGCUUGUAUUCCUGAAUUAUUCGUAGAACCCUCUAUAGUGUAUCGUUGAUUUUCUUUGGAAUUCAUUUCUGUGAAAUCCAAUUGCUGCCCCGUACUCUAUUUUUUAGGAGUUUAUUGCUUAAAUCUUUUGAAAGUUUUGCCAAUUCAUGAUUUAUCAUUGAUUUACUUAAUAUUGAACUCUUUUCUAUGUUUCUUGUUCAUAUGGAAUUUGAAAUCACUGCUGCACUUUCUAAUCUGAAAUCUGUCAACAUGCUUUUUCUUGAGAAG
rnacentral:misc_RNA from 1 species